AGUGAACGCUGGCGGCAGGCCUAACACAUGCAAGUCGAGCGGCAGCGCGGGGGCAACCCUGGCGGCGAGCGGCGGACGGGUGAGGAAUUCGUCGGAAUCUGCCUUUUUGUGGGGGAUAACGUAGGAAAACUUACGCUAAUACCGCAUACCACCUACGGGUGAAAGUGGGGGACCGCAAGGACUCACGCAGAAAGAUGAGCCGACGACCGAUUAGCUAGUUGGUGGGGUAAAGGCCGACCAAGGCGACGAUCGGUAGCUGGUCUGAGAGGAUGAUCAGCCACACUGGGACUGAGACACGGCCCAGACUCCUACGGGAGGCAGCAUUGGGGAAUAUUGGACAAUGGGCGCAAGCCUGAUCCAGCCAUGCCGCGUGUGUGAAGAAGGCCUUCGGGUUGUAAAGCACUUUUGUCCGGAAAGAAAUCUUCCAACUUAAUACGUUGGGAGGAUGACGGUACCGGAAGAAUAAGCACCGGCUAACUUCGUGCCAGCCGCCGCCGUAA
rnacentral:rRNA from 1 species